GUGCCAGCAGUCGCGGUUAAACAGUCAGGGCAAGCGGUACACUAUAACGGUCUAAAGCGUUAGCAGUACGGUAAAAAACUGGAAUUAUAUAAUAAAAAUUAUUAUGAAAUAUAUGAGUAGGGGUCAAAUCUGAGAAAUCAUAUAAGACAACCAAGAUAUGAAAGUGUAUAAUUUAUAUAUAAUUGACGUUCAGUAACGACACCUAGAGUAUCGAAUUGGACUAGUCACCCAAUUAGUUCUAGGCGUAAACAAUGUGUGUUGAUUAAAUAAUUAAUAAAUUAAAUAAUUAAGCGAAGGCGUAUAACACAUCACCGGAGGAGUACGGCACACGGCUGAAACUUAAAACAUUAGGCGGUGCAGGUUAUUAACAGAGGAUCAUGUUAUUUAAU
rnacentral:rRNA from 1 species